rnacentral:rRNA from 1 species
UACGGAGGGGGCUAGCGUUGUUCGGAAUUACUGGGCGUAAAGCGCACGUAGGCGGACUGUUAAGUCGGGGGGUGAAAUCCUGGGGCUCAACCUCAGAAUUGCCUCCGAUACUGGCAGUCUCGAGUGCGGGAGAGGUGAGUGGAAUUCCCAGUGUAGAGGUGAAAUUCGGUAGAUAUUUGGGAAGAACACCAGUGGCGAAGGCGGCUCACU